GCUGGGUGCGGUGGCACGUGUCUAGUCCCUGCUACUCAGGAGGCUGAGGCUGGAGUCCAGGAGUUCUGGUCUGUAGUGCACUAUGCCAAUCAGGUGUCCACAUGAAGUUUGGCGUCAAUAUGGUGACCUCCUGGGAGCAGGGAACCACCAGGUUGCUUAAGGAGGGGUGAACCAGCCCAGGUCAGAAAGGGAGCAGGUCAAAACUCCCGUACUGAUCAGUAGUGUGAUCGCACCUGUGAAUAGCCACUGCACUCCAGCCUGGGCAACACUGCGAGACCCCAUCUCUU
rnacentral:SRP_RNA from 1 species